rnacentral:rRNA from 1 species
UACGUAGGGUGCGAGCGUUGUCCGGAAUUAUUGGGCGUAAAGAACUCGUAGGCGGUCUGUCGCGUCGGCUGUGAAAACCCGGGGCUCAACCCCGGGCCUGCAGUCGAUACGGGCAGACUAGAGUGUGGUAGGGGAGACUGGAAUUCCUGGUGUAGCGGUGAAAUGCGCAGAUAUCAGGAGGAACACCGGUGGCGAAGGCGGGUCUCUAGUACGGUACUGACGCUGAGACGCGAAAGCGUGGGGAGCGAACAGG